AUUGAACGCUGGCGGCAGGCCUAACACAUGCAAGUCGAACGAGUUGCGGACGGGUGAGUAAUGUCUGGGAAACUGCCUGAUGGAGGGGGAUAACUACUGGAAACGGUCGCUAAUACCGCAUACCAUCGGAUGUGCCCAGAUGGUAUGAGCUUGGGGGUGGGGUAAGGGCUCACCUAGGCGACGAUCCCUAGCUGGUCUGAGAGGAUGACCAGCCAAACUGGAACUGAGACACGGGCCAGACUCCUACGGGAGGAAGCAGUGGGGAAUAUUGCACAAUGGGCGCAAGCCUGAGGCAGCCAUGCCGCGUGUAUGAAGAAGGCCUUCGGGUUGGAAAGUACUUUCAGCGGGGAGGCGUUACCCGCAGAAGAAGCACCGGCUAACUCCGUGCCAGCCGCCGCGGUAAUUC
rnacentral:rRNA from 1 species